rnacentral:rRNA from 1 species
CACGUAGGGGGCGAGCGUUGUCCGGAUUUAUUGGGCGUAAAGAGCUCGUAGGCGGCUCGGUAAGUCAGGUGUGAAAACUCUAGGCUCAACCUAGAGACGCCACCUGAUACUGCCGUGGCUAGAGUCCGGUAGGGGAGCAUGGAAUUCCUGGUGUAGCAGUGAAAUGCGUAGAUAUCAUGAGGAAUACCAGAGGCGAAGGCGGCUACCUGGACAAUUGCUGACGCUCAGGCACGAAAGCGUGGGGAGCAAAAGGG